rnacentral:piRNA from 1 species
CCACCGUCAGCACCCAAAGCUGAAAUUC